rnacentral:rRNA from 1 species
AGAGUUUGAUCAUAGCUCAGAUUGAACGCUGGCGGCAGGCCUAACACAUGCAAGUCGAGCGAGAAAGCACUUCGGUGUGAGUAGAGCGGCGGACGGGUGAGUAACGCGUAGGAAUUUGCCCAGUAGUGGGGGACAACAUGUGGAAACGCAUGCUAAUACCGCAUACGCCCUAAGGGGGAAAGCAGGGGAUCUUCGGACCUUGCGCUAUUGGAGAAGCCUGCGUCGGAUUAGCUAGUUGGUGGGGUAAAGGCCCACCAAGGCGACGAUCCGUAGCUGGUCUGAGAGGAUGAUCAGCCACACUGGGACUGAGACACGGCCCAGACUCCCGCGGGAGGCAGCAGUGGGGAAUAUUGGACAAUGGGCGAAAGCCUGAUCCAGCCAUGCCGCGUGUGUGAAGAAGGCCUUAGGGUUGUAAAGCACUUUCAGUAGGGAGGAAAAGUUAGCCGCUAUUAACGACUAACUAACCCUGACGUGACCUACAGAAGAAGCACCGGCAAACUCCGUGCCAGCAGCCGCGGUAGUACGGAGGGUGCAAGCGUUAAUCGGAAUUACUGGGCGUAAAGCGCGCGUAGGCGGUUAGUUAAGUCGGAUGUGAAAGCCCUGGGCUCAACCUAGGAACUGCAUUCGAUACUGGCUAACUAGAGUAUGAAAGAGGGAGGUAGAAUUCCAUGUGUAGCGGUGAAAUGCGUAGAUAUGUGGAGGAAUACCAGUGGCGAAGGCGGCCUCCUGGUUCAAUACUGACGCUGAGGUGCGAAAGCGUGGGGAGCAAACAGGAUUAGAUACCCUGGUAGUCCACGCCGUAAACGAUGUCUACUAGCCGUUGGGAGACUUGAUUUCUUAGUGGCGCAGCUAACGCACUAAGUAGACCGCCUGGGAGUACGGUCGCAAGGUUAAAACUCAAAUGAAUUGACGGGGGCCCGCACAAGCGGUGUAGCAUGUGGUUUAAUUCGAUGCAACGCGAAGAACCUUACCAGGUCUUGACAUCCUGAAAACUUUCUAGAGAUAGAUUGGUGCCUUCGGGAACGCAGUGACAGGUGCUGCAUGGGCUGUCGUCAGCUCGUGUUGUGAAAUGUUGGGUUAAGUCCCGUAACGAGCGCAACCCUUGUCCUUAUUUGCCAGCGAGUUAUGUCGGGAACUUUAAGGAGACUGCCGGUGACAAACCGGAGGAAGGUGGGGACGACGUCAAGUCAUCAUGGCCCUUACGACCUGGGCUACACACGUGCUACAAUGGAACGCACAAAGGGCAGCGAACCCGCGAGGGGGAGCGAAUCCCAUAAAACGUUUCGUAGUCCGGAUCGCAGUCUGCAACUCGACUGCGUGAAGUCGGAAUCGCUAGUAAUCGUGAAUCAGAAUGUCACGGUGAAUACGUUCCCGGGCCUUGUACACACCGCCCGUCACACCAUGGGAGUGGGUUGCUCCAGAAGUGGUUAGCCUAACCUUCGGGAGGGCGAUCACCACGGAGUGAUUCAUGACUGGGGUGAAGUCGUAACAAGGUAACC